rnacentral:rRNA from 1 species
UACGUAGGCAGCAAGCGUUGUUCGGAGUUACUGGGCGUAAAGGGUGCGUAGGCGGCUCUGUAAGUAUGGUGUGAAAUCUCCCGGCUUAACUGGGAGGGUGCGCUAUAGACUGCGGGGCUCGAGUGUGGGAGAGGAAAGUGGAAUUCCUGGUGUAGCGGUGAAAUGCGUAGAUAUCAGGAGGAACACCGGUGGUGUAAACGGCUUUCUGGACCAUAACUGACGCUGAGGCACGAAAAGCGUGGGUAGCAAACAGG